rnacentral:rRNA from 1 species
AUGGUAGGAUAGAGGCCUACCAUGGUUUUAACGGGUAACGGGGAAUUAGGGUUCGAUUCCGGAGAGGGAGCCUGAGAAACGGCUACCACAUCCAAGGAUGGCAGCAGGCGCGCAAAUUACCCAAUCCCGACACGGGGAGGUAGUGACAAUAAAUAACAAUACGGGGUUCUUUAGGAUCUCGUAAUUGGAAUGAGUACAAUUUAAAUCUCUUAACGAGGAACAAUUGGAGGGCAAGUCUGGUGCCAGCAGCCGCGGUAAUUCCAGCUCCAAUAGCGUAUAUUAAAGUUGUUGCAGUUAAAAAGCUCGUAGUUGAAUUUCGGGGUCAGUAGGUCGGUCGUGCCACUGGUAUGAACUGGUUUUACUGAUUCCUCCCUCUUGAAGAACUGUAAUGCCAUUAAUUUGGUGUUGCAGGGAAUCAGGACUGUUACUUUGAAAAAAUUAGAGUGUUUAAAGCAGGCUUUAGCUUGAAUACAUUAGCAUGGAAUAAUGAAAUAGGACGUUUGAUCCUAUUUUGUUGGUUUCUAGGAUUGACGUAAUGAUUAAUAGGGAUAGUUGGGGGCAUUAGUAUUCAAUUGUCAGAGGUGAAAUUCUUGGAUUUAUUGAAGACUAACUACUGCGAAAGCAUUUGCCAAGGAUGUUUUCAUUAAUCAAGAACGAAAGUUAGGGGAUCGGAGACGAUCAGAUACCGUCGUAGUCUUAACCAUAAACUAUGCCGACUAGGGAUCGGAUGAUGUUAAUUUUUUAAUGACUCAUUCGGCGCCUUACGGGAAACCAAAGUGUUUGGG